rnacentral:rRNA from 1 species
GACCGAAUCCUGCAGUCGACGAUUCCUACGGGAGGCAGCAGCUAAGAAUCUUCCGCAAUGGGCGAAAGCCUGACGGAGCGACGCCGCGUGGACGAAGAAGGCCGGAAGGUUGUAAAGUCCUUUUCCUGGGGGAGAAUAAUGCGGGGAGGGAAUGCCCUGCAGAUGACGUGAACCAGGGAAUAAGCCCCGGCUAAUUACGUGCCAGCAGCCGCGGUAACACGUAAGGGGCGAGCGUUGUUCGGAUUUAUUGGGCGUAAAGGGCGUGUAGGCGGUAGUGCAAGUCUGGUGUGAAAGGCCCCGGCUCAACCGGGGAAGCGCGCUGGAAACUGUGCUGCUAGAGUUUAGGAGGGGAAGCUGGAAUUCCUGGUGUAGGGGUGAAAUCUGUAGAGAUCAGGAAGAACACCGGAGGCGAAGGCGAGCUUCUGGCCAUAGACUGACGCUGAGGCGCGAAAGCGUGGGGAGCAAACAGGAUUAGAUACCCUGGUAGUCCACGCUGUAAACGAUGUGCACUAGGUGUUGGGGGUAUGAACUCUCGGUGCCGGAGCUAACGCGUUAAGUGCACCGCCUGGGGAGUACGCCGGCAACGGUAAAACUCAAAGGAAUUGACGG